AGAGUUUGAUCCUGGCUCAGGACGAACGCUGGCGGCGUGCCUAAUACAUGCAAGUCGAACGCUUCUUUUUCCACCGGAGCUUGCUCCACCGGAAAAAGAGGAGUGGCGAACGGGUGAGUAACACGUGGGUAACCUGCCCAUCAGAAGGGGAUAACACUUGGAAACAGGUGCUAAUACCGUAUAACAAUCNNNNNNNNNNNNNNNNNNNNNNNNNNNNNNNNNNNNNNNNNNNNNNNNGGUUUUGAUUUGAAAGGCGCUUUCGGGUGUCGCUGAUGGAUGGACCCGCGGUGCAUUAGCUAGUUGGUGAGGUAACGGCUCACCAAGGCCACGAUGCAUAGCCGACCUGAGAGGGUGAUCGGCCACAUUGGGACUGAGACACGGCCCAAACUCCUACGGGAGGCAGCAGUAGGGAAUCUUCGGCAAUGGACGAAAGUCUGACCGAGCAACGCCGCGUGAGUGAAGAAGGUUUUCGGAUCGUAAAACUCUGUUGUUAGAGAAGAACAAGGAUGAGAGUAACUGUUCAUCCCUUGACGGUAUCUAACCAGAAAGCCACGGCUAACUACGUGCCAGCAGCCGCGGUAAUACGUAGGUGGCAAGCGUUGUCCGGAUUUAUUGGGCGUAAAGCGAGCGCAGGCGGUUUCUUAAGUCUGAUGUGAAAGCCCCCGGCUCAACCGGGGAGGGUCAUUGGAAACUGGGAGACUUGAGUGCAGAAGAGGAGAGUGGAAUUCCAUGUGUAGCGGUGAAAUGCGUAGAUAUAUGGAGGAACACCAGUGGCGAAGGCGGCUCUCUGGUCUGUAACUGACGCUGAGGCUCGAAAGCGUGGGGAGCAAACAGGAUUAGAUACCCUGGUAGUCCACGCCGUAAACGAUGAGUGCUAAGUGUUGGAGGGUUUCCGCCCUUCAGUGCUGCAGCUAACGCAUUAAGCACUCCGCCUGGGGAGUACGACCGCAAGGUUGAAACUCAAAGGAAUUGACGGGGGCCCGCACAAGCGGUGGAGCAUGUGGUUUAAUUCGAAGCAACGCGAAGAACCUUACCAGGUCUUGACAUCCUUUGACCACUCUAGAGAUAGAGCUUCCCCUUCGGGGGCAAAGUGACAGGUGGUGCAUGGUUGUCGUCAGCUCGUGUCGUGAGAUGUUGGGUUAAGUCCCGCAACGAGCGCAACCCUUAUUGUUAGUUGCCAUCAUUCAGUUGGGCACUCUAGCAAGACUGCCGGUGACAAACCGGAGGAAGGUGGGGAUGACGUCAAAUCAUCAUGCCCCUUAUGACCUGGGCUACACACGUGCUACAAUGGGAAGUACAACGAGU
rnacentral:rRNA from 1 species